rnacentral:rRNA from 1 species
UACGUAGGGUCCGAGCGUUGUCCGGAAUUAUUGGGCGUAAAGGGCGCGUAGGCGGUCGGAUAAGUCUUGUGUGAAAUCUUCGGGCUCAACUCGAAGUCUGCACAGGAAACUAUCUGGCUUGAGUGUGGGAGAGGUGAGUGGAAUUCCUGGUGUAGCGGUGAAAUGCGUAGAUAUCAGGAGGAACACCUGUGGCGAAAGCGGCUCACUGGACCACAACUGACGCUGAGGCGCGAAAGCUAGGGGAGCAAACAGG